rnacentral:tRNA from 1 species
UGGGGAUUUGUGUAACGGUAGCACGACAGACUCUGACUCUGUUUGUGGGGGUUCGAACCCCUCAUCCCCAGCCA